GUAAGCUACUAAGAGCGAAUGGUGGAUGCCUUGACUGGUAAAGGCGAUGAAGGACGUACUAGACUGCGAUAAGCUACGGGGAGCUGUCAAGAAGCUUUGAUCCGUAGAUUUCCGAAUGGGGCAACCCAAUGUAUAGAGAUAUACAUUACCUAUAUAGGAGCGAACGAGGGGAAUUGAAACAUCUUAGUACCCUCAGGAAAAGAAAUCAAUAGAGAUUGCGUCAGUAGCGGCGAGCGAAAGCGCAAGAGGGCAAACCCAGUGCUUGCACUGGGGGUUGUAGGACUGCAAUGUGCAAGAGGUAAGUUUAGCAGAACAUUCUGGAAAGUAUAACCAUAGAGGGUGAUAGUCCCGUAUGCGAAAAACAAACCUUAGCUAGCAGUAUCCUGAGUAGGGCGGGACACGAGGAAUCCUGUCUGAAUCCGGGUCGACCACGAUCCAACCCUAAAUACUAAUACCAGAUCGAUAGUGCACAAGUACCGUGAGGGAAAGGUGAAAAGAACUGAGGUGAUCAGAGUGAAAUAGAACCUGAAACCAUUUGCUUACAAUCAUUCAGAGCCCUAUGUAGCAAUACAGGGUGAUGGACUGCCUUUUGCAUAAUGAGCCUGCGAGUUGUGGUGUCUGGCAAGGUUAAGCAAACGCGAAGCCGUAGCGAAAGCGAGUCUGAAUAGGGCGCUUAGUCAGAUGCUGCAGACCCGAAACGAAGUGAUCUAUCCAUGAGCAAGUUGAAGCUAGUGUAAGAACUAGUGGAGGACUGAACCCAUAGGCGUUGAAAAGCCCCGGGAUGACUUGUGGAUAGGGGUGAAAGGCCAAUCAAACUUCGUGAUAGCUGGUUCUCUCCGAAAUAUAUUUAGGUAUAGCGUUGUGUCGUAAUAUAAGGGGGUAGAGCACUGAAUGGGCUAGGGCAUACACCAAUGUACCAAACCCUAUCAAACUCCGAAUACCUUAUAUGUAAUCACAGCAGUCAGGCGGCGAGUGAUAAAAUCCGUCGUCAAGAGGGAAACAACCCAGACUACCAGCUAAGGUCCCUAAAUCUUACUUAAGUGGAAAACGAUGUGAAGUUACUUAAACAACCAGGAGGUUGGCUUAGAAGCAGCCAUCCUUUAAAGAAAGCGUAAUAGCUCACUGGUCUAGUGAUUUUGCGCGGAAAAUAUAACGGGGCUAAAGUAAGUACCGAAGCUGUAGACUUGCACACAACUUAGAUUAUUUAAGUUUAGAAUAUGAGAAACUAAGUUAUAUGUUUAGUUAUAUUUUUACUGAUUUUUAUAGAGUAAAGAUAGAAAUAAAACUUAGUAAAAUCAGUAAAAAUAUUCUUAGACUAAAGUUAAGUAGUUUAAGUUGUGUGCAAGUGGUAGGAGAGCGUUCUAUUUGCGUCGAAGGUAUACCGGUAAGGAGUGCUGGAGCGAAUAGAAGUGAGCAUGCAGGCAUGAGUAGCGAUAAUUAAUGUGAGAAUCAUUAACGCCGUAAACCCAAGGUUUCCUACGCGAUGCUCGUCAUCGUAGGGUUAGUCGGGUCCUAAGUCGAGUCCGAAAGGGGUAGACGAUGGCAAAUUGGUUAAUAUUCCAAUACCAACAUUAGUGUGCGAUGGAAGGACGCUUAGGGCUAAGGGGGCUAGCGGAUGGAAGUGCUAGUCUAAGGUCGUAGGAGGUUAUACAGGCAAAUCCGUAUAACAAUACUCCGAGAACUGAAAGGCUUUUUGAAGUCUUCGGAUGGAUAGAAGAACCCCUGAUGCCGUCGAGCCAAGAAAAGUUUCUAAGUUUAGCUAAUGUUGCCCGUACCGUAAACCGACACAGGUGGGUGGGAUGAGUAUUCUAAGGCGCGUGGAAGAACUCUCUUUAAGGAACUCUGCAAAAUAGCACCGUAUCUUCGGUAUAAGGUGUGGUUAGCUUUGUAUUAGGAUUUACUCCGAAAGCAAGGAAACUUACAACAAAGAGUCCCUCCCGACUGUUUACCAAAAACACAGCACUCUGCUAACUCGUAAGAGGAUGUAUAGGGUGUGACGCCUGCCCGGUGCUCGAAGGUUAAUUGAUGGGGUUAGCAUUAGCGAAGCUCUUGAUCGAAGCCCGAGUAAACGGCGGCCGUAACUAUAACGGUCCUAAGGUAGCGAAAUUCCUUGUCGGUUAAAUACCGACCUGCAUGAAUGGCGUAACGAGAUGGGAGCUGUCUCAAAGAGGGAUCCAGUGAAAUUGUAGUGGAGGUGAAAAUUCCUCCUACCCGCGGCAAGACGGAAAGACCCCGUGGACCUUUACUACAGCUUGACACUGCUACUUGGAUAAGAAUGUGCAGGAUAGGUGGGAGGCUUUGAGUAUAUGACGCCAGUUGUAUAUGAGCCAUUGUUGAGAUACCACUCUUUCUUAUUUGGGUAGCUAACCAGCUUGAGUUAUCCUCAAGUGGGACAAUGUCUGGUGGGUAGUUUGACUGGGGCGGUCGCCUCCCAAAUAAUAACGGAGGCUUACAAAGGUUGGCUCAGAACGGUUGGAAAUCGUUCGUAGAGUAUAAAGGUAUAAGCCAGCUUAACUGCAAGACAUACAAGUCAAGCAGAGACGAAAGUCGGUCUUAGUGAUCCGGUGGUUCUGUGUGGAAGGGCCAUCGCUCAAAGGAUAAAAGGUACCCCGGGGAUAACAGGCUGAUCUCCCCCAAGAGCUCACAUCGACGGGGAGGUUUGGCACCUCGAUGUCGGCUCAUCGCAUCCUGGGGCUGGAGCAGGUCCCAAGGGUAUGGCUGUUCGCCAUUUAAAGCGGUACGCGAGCUGGGUUCAGAACGUCGUGAGACAGUUCGGUCCCUAUCUGCCGUGGGCGUAAGAAGAUUGAAGAGAUUUGACCCUAGUACGAGAGGACCGGGUUGAACAAACCACUGGUGUAGCUGUUGUUCUGCCAAGAGCAUCGCAGCGUAGCUAAGUUUGGAAAGGAUAAACGCUGAAAGCAUCUAAGCGUGAAGCCAACUCUAAGAUGAAUCUUCUCUAAGCUCUCUAGAAGACUACUAGUUUGAUAGGCUGGGUGUGUAAUGGAUGAAAGUCCUUUAGCUGACCAGUACUAAUAGAGCGUUUGGCUUAUCUUUA
rnacentral:rRNA from 3 species